rnacentral:lncRNA from 1 species
UAAACAUGAGUAUCUCUACUUUCAUGUAGAUAAGUAGUGAGCUAGCUUGAUUGAUUUGAUCAAACUUUUGAAACUUUUUUUUUUUUUUUUUUUUUUUUGAGACAGAGUCUUGAUCUGUUACCCAAGCUGGAGUGUAGUGGAGUGAUCUUGCCUCACUGCAACCUUCACCUCCUGGGUUCGGGUGAUUCUCCUGUCUUAGCCUUCUGAGUAGCUGGGAUUACAAGCAUGAGCCACCACGCCCAGCUGAUUUUUUUUUUUUUUUGUAUUUUUAGUAGAGACGGAGUUUCACCAUGUUAGCCAGGCUGGUCUUGAACUCCUGACCUUGGGUGAUCUGCCGGCCUCAGCCUCCUGAAGUCCUGGGAUUACAGGCAUGAGCCACCACGCCUGGCCAAACUUUGAAACUUUUACAAAUGUUGAGUGCAUUUAUGUCAAUGUGACACAACAUACAGAAAUAAUAUGAACACAUAUGAGAUUUGUAUUUUUAGAGACAGACAUCAAAACUGUGUUACUCUUUAGAAUUGCUAUGGUUAUUUUGAAUAUGCUGAAGUUACAUACUUUUUGCCAUGAUUAGCUUCUUUAUGUCAAGCUGUCUUGCCUCUGGGUUUUUAUGAUCCAUAUCAUCUGAAAAGACCUUACACUCUCAGCCAUUCCCCGAUAUCAAUUCCAUCUCCGGAGAAGCCCAGGGAGUUGUUCAAGGCCUGCAAAAUGAAGUGCAAGCAACUGGGAUGCACAACACAGAACUAAAACGAAUGGAACCACAGCACAUUUGCAAAAUACCCAGGUUUCCACAAAUAAUACCCGGGAAAGAGAACGCCUCAUCAGCAAAAGUUUCUCUGAAACAAGGUGCAAAGGAGAAAGGCGAGGAUAAGGAGUACCUUCAAUGCCGAAAUACCUUCCUAGAACAAAAGGGUGUCUUGAAGCCUUGAAGCCUUUGCCUCUUUGUCACAGCCGGAAGGCCCCAGCUGGCAAUCAGAACUUCCGGUAACCAGCUUCCUUUGCCUUAAUAAUUCAUAGUCCAGCUCAUGUUUGGGUUAAGGAGUAGCCACUUUCAUGCAAUCAAUUGAAAAUCUUUCCUAAAACUGGGACAAACGUACAUGCCCAGAUUAAAGCCUUCAAACUCUCUUCAGUCUGCGUCCUAAGAGGCUUCCUGGUUAGCAGUGGAGUCACAUCAAUCUGGGAUCAAGACUCAGUUUGUUUUCGUUUCUUUAGUGAACACUUGUCCAAAACCUGGCCGUAUGCUGAAAAGUCCUUAAUCUAUGCUUGGUGAUAGUAUAUAAGCGCCACAAGUUCCUGCUUCUCUUGCCUUCUCAUAGCAACUCUCCUGGGGCAAAUGUGCCCUUAUUAUCUUCAUCAGCAUAAAAUGCCCAGUUCUUUCUGCAUCUGUAUCCAGGACUAGCCACCAAACAGAGCUGCUUCCUACCUCAGGCAGAGAAGGCCUUAUGUCAUUCUCCCCGGAUUUAGGUAGCAUGUGGGAGGGAAG